rnacentral:rRNA from 1 species
GUGGGGAAUCUUGCGCAAUGGGCGAAAGCCUGACGCAGCCAUGCCGCGUGAAUGAUGAAGGUCUUAGGAUUGUAAAAUUCUUUCACCGGGGACGAUAAUGACGGUACCCGGAGAAGAAGCCCCGGCUAACUUCGUGCCAGCAGCCGCGGUAAUACGAAGGGGGCUAGCGUUGCUCGGAAUUACUGGGCGUAAAGGGCGCGUAGGCGGACAGUUUAGUCAGAGGUGAAAGCCCAGGGCUCAACCUUGGGAUUGCCUUUGAUAGUGGCUGGCUUGAGUACGGGAGAGGUGAGUGGAACUCCGAGUGUAGAGGUGAAAUUCGUAGAUAUUCGGAAGGACACCAGUGGCGAAGGCGACUCACUGGCCCGUUACUGACGCUGAGGCGCGAAAGCGUGGGGAGCAAACAGGAUUAGAAACCCGUGUAGUCC